UUAGCGGCGGAGGGUGAGUAACACGUGGGCAACCUGCCUGUAAGACUGGGAAACUCCGGGAAACCGGGGCUAAUACCGGAUAACCCGUUCCACCUCAUGGUGGAGCGGUAAAAGAUGGCCUCUGGCUAUCACUUACAGAUGGGCCCGCGGCGCAUUAGCUAGUUGGUAAGGUAACGGCUUACCAAGGCGACGAUGCGUAGCCGACCUGAGAGGGUGAUCGGCCACACUGGGACUGAGACACGGCCCAGACUCCUACGGGAGGCAGCAGUAGGGAAUCUUCCGCAAUGGACGAAAGUCUGACGGAGCAACGCCGCGUGAGUGAUGAAGGUUUUCGGAUCGUAAAGCUCUGUUGUUAGGGAAGAACAAGUGCCGUUUGAAUAAGGCGGCACCUUGACGGUACCUAACCAGAAAGCCACGGCUAACUACGUGCCAGCAGCCGCGGUAAUACGUAGGUGGCAAGCGUUGUCCGGAAUUAUUGGGCGUAAAGCGCGCGCAGGCGGCUCUUAAGUCUGAUGUGAAAGCCCACGGCUCAACCGUGGAGGGUCAUUGGAAACUGGGAGACUUGAGUACAGAAGAGGAGAGUGGAAUUCCACGUGUAGCGGUGAAAUGCGUAGAUAUGUGGAGGAACACCAGUGGCGAAGGCGACUCUCUGGUCUGUAACUGACGCUGAGGCGCGAAAGCGUGGGGAGCAAACAGGAUUAGAUACCCUGGUAGUCCACGCCGUAAACGAUGAGUGCUAGGUGUUAGGGGUUUCGAUGCCCUUAGUGCCGAAGUUAACACAUUAAGCACUCCGCCUGGGGAGUACGACCGCAAGGUUGAAACUCAAAGGAAUUGACGGGGGCCCGCACAAGCAGUGGAGCAUGUGGUUUAAUUCGAAGCAACGCGAAGAACCUUACCAGGUCUUGACAUCCUUUGACCACUCUAGAGAUAGAGCUUUCCCCUUCGGGGGACAAAGUGACAGGUGGUGCAUGGUUGUCGUCAGCUCGUGUCGUGAGAUGUUGGGUUAAGUCCCGCAACGAGCGCAACCCUUGAUCUUAGUUGCCAGCAUUCAGUUGGGCACUCUAAGGUGACUGCCGGUGACAAACCGGAGGAAGGUGGGGAUGACGUCAAAUCAUCAUGCCCCUUAUGACCUGGGCUACACACGUGCUACAAUGGAUGGUACAAAGGGCUGCAAAACCGCGAGGUUGAGCGAAUCCCAUAAAGCCAUUCUCAGUUCGGAUUGUAGGCUGCAACUCGCCUACAUGAAGCCGGAAUGCUAGU
rnacentral:rRNA from 1 species